rnacentral:misc_RNA from 1 species
GUAAACUUGUAUACAUGCCAUUUAACACACAAAUCGUGAGCAUUAGCUCAGCUAACAUAACAUUACAUAAUGACAGAGCUUCAAGAAAGUAAGCUCAAGAAGAAGAAAUAUUUUCAUAUUAUUAGCAAGUCAUAGUAACACGAGAUCAACUCAUACAGAUGACAUGGUUCAUGGAUGAGCAACUAUACAUCUGUCCACGACGAGGUACAUUAUUUAGUGGUUAGCUAGUGGACAUAAAGUAUACGUCAAUUUGUAUAUCUCAGAGUCUGAGAUGGUGUUUUCAUAUUGAACUCCUACCUGAAACCUGGCACUGAGACAGCCACAAAUCUAUAUGUUCAACAAUCUUUUCCCUUACUUUACGAACUGCAUCAGGGGAACUGCAGUUUUUAGCAUCACCUUCAGGUACUAAAGGAGACUGAGGGCAGCCCCGCAUGUCGGUUCCAUGGCCACAGUUAUGGCAAGAGAUUAUGUAAGAAGGCAACUCUGGGGAAGAAGUCUGUUUGGAAGCAUGUCGCCAGGGGUCCUGUGAUCCAUUGGUGAAGACAAUCUUUGACCCAGCAAUUUUGGUGCCCCCAUAGUACAAGUUAGUCGCAUCGACAUCAGGAUAGAUACUGGCUCCAAAGACAUUCCUGCACAGGUCCAAAUGGUAUCUGGUAUCAACUUUAGAAGAGCGAAUACUAUCAUUCAAGGGUGCAACCUGAAAAUAUGCAACUUCUGUGCAAACCUGGAACCACCACAAGCGGUCAGAAGUAUCGCCAUUUACAGCAGUAUUCUUCAGAUUUUCCUGAUCGUAGGUUUUGACGCUGACCCCAAAUGUCUUAACAUAAUAAUCCUUUACAUAGGUGGCAUAUGCAUUCACUAAAUCUUCCCCGGAUUUCUUUGCUUCAAGUAGUGGGAUGCAUAGUCUGUCUGGACUUCCAUAUUGAAAAGCUGUAACUGCAGCAUCUGCCACAAAGUACAGGAAGUCACUAUCAUUUCUUAGCUCAUCAGCCCCAAACAAUGCUUUAACGUCCUUGGGAUUUGAUGUAAGUUUUGCUUCUACUAGUUUGGUAAUUUCUUGCAAUGUUGCUUUACAUUCUGGACCAGCAGAUUCACCAACCUGCUUGUCAAACUCUGAGAAGCUGUAAACUGCUUGAACUACAGCAGAGCUUGCAAGGCUUCCACAAGUUAAGUGAGGAAACUUCAGGCGGAACCAUGCACUAAGGGCUCCGGAGUAAGAAACACCGAAGACGAACCAUGGGUUUCCAAUAUUGGAUCUGUUGAGCUUCACAUUCAAGGACUCCUGAUAGAAAUUCCUGAAAGCUGCUAAGUCAAAAAGUGCCUGUUUUGAUGACAAAUAUUUCAGAUUCCCAGUUGUUAAGGACUUGAAGGGUGAACUCUUCCCAUAAUACCGAUGCUCAAGAGUAACGAUAGCAGCUCCAAACUUCUUUGCUAAAACACUGAGGUAAUCGUUCGGUAUCCCACUGCAUGCAGAUUCUCCACAAAUUUUCAAAAAUAUCGGUCCAUCAGGAAUUCGGAAAUGGUCAAAAAACUCAUAGUACCUCUGUCCAAAUGUACGAUGAUCAUAGGGAGAAAAGUGAUCAAGAGUCUGAUUGAACCAGUGUUCUUCCUUGGUCAAAUACUUGUUUUCCGAAUUGAUUUGCUGAAGAAAAUAGUGAGAAUUUGAGAUUCCAUUUGAGAUUAUUAGCAAUUGUGAGAAGAAAGCAAUGAGUAGAGCUAACAUUGUUUGCUUCUGCUACAAAAGUCGCUUUGGGUGUCG